UCCAUGUUAUGCCUAAUAUUCUCACUAACGUUAUGGUGCAUGUUUAUUUGUUCUCUCCCCAGGUGCAGACCAAGGAGGUGGAGUAGCAGCCAUCUUUGACUGGAGCCUUUUAAUAAAUCCUAAACCUUAUUUGUCUCACACCCAACCUGGGAACCAGUUUUGUAGCUCAGCCCCACGUGUUACUCUUUUCUCAGGCUGUUGGAGUGAAAUACAGAGAUCGACAAAAAUACCUGUUUGGAGGGCCAAGUUACCUACAAGUCGUUUUUGGAAUGUGCUUCCAAGAAGUUCAGCAUCCCAACCUUGGACAACACAAAACCUAGGUCAUCCAGUUUGAUCCUGCUGCCACCACCUCAUGAGACCAGGAAAGCUAUCUGCCAGUGAAGUUCAUCAAGAUGGGGACCAGCAUCCUGACAGCCAUACCUGCUUGCAGUGGGAACUCGGAGGAAUGUGAUUCACUGUCAAAUAUGCAUAUUUUUGAAAUGUUUCAUUUGUAUGUAAUAAAAUUCAUUGUUCCAUUUGAA